GUGGGGAAUAUUGGGCAAUGGGCGCAAGCCUGACCCAGCAACGCCGCGUGAAGGAAGAAGGCUUUCGGGUUGUAAACUUCUUUUACCAGGGACGAAAAAAAUGACGGUACCUGGAGAAUAAGCCACGGCUAACUACGUGCCAGCAGCCGCGGUAAUACGUAGGUGGCAAGCGUUGUCCGGAUUUACUGGGUGUAAAGGGCGCGUAGGCGGGAGAGCAAGUCAGGAGUGAAAUCUAUGGGCUUAACCCAUAAAUUGCUUUUGAAACUGUUUUUCUUGAGUGAUGGAGAGGCAAGCGGAAUUAGUAGUGUAGCGGUGAAAUGCGUAGAUAUUAGGAGGAACACCAGUGGCGAAGGCGGCUUGCUGGACAUUAACUGACGCUGAUGCGCGAAAGCGUGGGGAGCAAACAGGAUUAGAAACCCGUGUAGUCC
rnacentral:rRNA from 1 species